CCGGCCUGUAGGGUUUAUACAGAAAGUAGAAGAGGCUUUCAAAUAUACACACUAAGUUGAUAUUUACUAAUGAACUUUCAAAUUUCUAGAUUCUCGUGGAUCUCUAUUCAUAUAGUAGAUUUGGUAGGUACCCUAUGAAGGAUACCUCUUAGCCAAAAAAUGCCUGGUCCAGUUGAUGUCCCUCAUUGGGAGGUACCACUGUAUAAGCUAUCAAUAUGAGUGAAAAUUUGGAAGGGAAAAAAAGGUAUAUGUUAAAACAACAAGACACAUAAUUCAAGUAUUUAAUAAAAAAAUUAAAAAAAAAAAAAAAAAAAAAAGAUGCAAAUCUAUCACAUAUAGGAAGAAAAAAAGUUCAAGUCUAGAUCAGUAUGUAACACAAAAGAAUAUAAAAAGGAGAAAAAAAUGAAGAUGAACAAUAGAAUAAUUUAUAGCAUCUGAAAAGACCUAGAUCAAUGUACAAAAGACCAGAAAGAAAAAAAAAAAAAAAAAAAAAAGAGCAAAGUGAAGAUAAAUAAGAAGAUUUGAAAAAUCUCCCAAACUUUGAUAUAUCUAUGCGCCAAACACAUUUUAUUUUCAUUAUGAAUGAUUUUAUAAUUAAAAAUAAAUUGCUAUCAAA